GUCCAUAUGGUGAAGAUGGAACAAUACAAGGUUUAUUUGAAAUAAGUCAAAUACCAUAUGUGGGUUGUGGAGUUUUAGCUUCAAGUGUAGGUAUGGAUA
rnacentral:tRNA from 1 species